rnacentral:rRNA from 1 species
CAAUAGCGUAUAUUAAAGUUGUUGCAGUUAAAAAGCUCGUAGUUGGAUUUCUGGUCGGAAGCUCCUGUCCUCUGAUGAGCGUACACGUGCGUCCUACCAUCCUUCUGUUAACCUUUAAGGCUUUCGCGGCUUUCUAGGGGCUCAGAUAUUUUACCUUGAGAAAAUUAGAGUGUUUCAGGCAGGCUAGCGCCGGAAUACAUUAGCAUGGAAUAAUGGAAUAGGACUUUUGCCUCUUCUGUUGGUCAUGAGGCUCGAGUAAUGAUUAAUAGGGAUAGUUGGGGGCAUUAGUACUUAACUGUCAGAGGUGAAAUUCUCGGAUUUGUUAAAGACUAACUUAUGCGAAAGCAUUUGCCAAGGAUGUUUUCAUUAA